AACUCAACAGUGGGGGUCUGGGUUGUUAACCACCACGCUUUCCCCUUCUGAUGGCUACAGAGAAGUAAUGGCCCAUUCUGGGAGCACCAGAUGUACAAAACCCAGCCCAGCUACGGCUGGGAUGAAAGGUCAGAGGACCUUGGGCCAUGGGCUCUGCCUUGAAGGCAGCCCUCUUCCUGACAAAGGGCUUCCUCAGCACACUCUCUCUGCCCAAAGGCACCUCUGAUGCUGGGUGCUGUGGGGAUCCAGGUCCUCCCAAAGCAGUGGGUCCUGGGACACUGUGGCUAGAGUCUGUUCUGGGCACUGCUCACCCAGAUAUAAUGGGUCAAAAUUUUUAGUGGUUUGGGCCUAGAAAGGGGAAUUAAAAUUAAAAACUUUUUAAAAAUUGAGAUGUAUGUGACAUGUAUAAGUUUAGUACUCAUGUUGAUUUGAUACAUUUAUAUAUGCCAAUAUGUAAAUCACCUUAGUGCUAGCUUACACUUCUGUCACAUCACAUGAUUAUCAUUUCUUUUUUGUGAUGGGAACGAUGAAGAUCUAAUCUCUCGGCAAUUUUGAAGUUUAUAAUACAGCAUUGCUGUCCAAAAUUGCUAAGCUGUGCAUUAGAUCUCUAGAUUUAUUUAGUAUCUCUUGGUUGCAAGUAUCUAUCAGGAGGAGCAUUUUUAACAAGCACUUAGGAGAUUCUUAUGCCAGCUGAAGUUUGAAAGCCCUGCUCUAGAGAAAAAGAGAGGGGAGGAAGGUCUGGUGGCCAUGGCAGAAUGGGCUCCUCUAGUCUCUGCGUCUAGAAAGGGCAUUUUCCUAAGAGGAAAGACCUGAGUGGGGUACUUCCUGUGAGGAGGGCUCGGUGUGUCAGGAGCUGUGUGGUCACGGGGACCCUCUUCAUGGGUGCUCUGGGCUGGGCUCCACCAGGAGGCAGUUGUUAUAUUUUCAGGAUUGUCAUAAGCCACUUGGCUUCCUGUUGGUGGCUUCAAAUGAGCCAUAGUGGGAGUAUUUAUACCACGGGAAUUGGCAAAUUCUACUGGUGAGGAUUUCUUUUUCUUCCCUUGUGGGGCACUUGCUAAACAUUUACUGCACACCCCAAACUCCACCUCUCUGGACACAAUGUUCUUACAUGUAAGGAGGAUGUGGGUAUAGCUGAAACUUUCAGGCCUGCUCAGUGCAGUUUUCCAGGUAGCCCUUGACGGGGAGAUGCCUUGUGAGCCCCAGCUCCUCUCCCUCCUCCUUCUCCUCUCAUGGAGAUGGGUUCCCUGAUUUCCCUUCUGUACCCCUCUCCUGAGCUAACUUAACCUAUCUUCUGACAACCAGAACAGAGGUGGUGGGGGUGAGGGUGGGGCAAAUUGCUUAACUAAGCAGCUUUCUAAAUGUGGUACAUGAACUAAAAUAAAAACAAAACAAACAAAUGUACCUAACUAUAACUUAAAGAAAUGGAAAAAGCUCAGCCCUCCUUGACUCUCAAAAGUGCACCUCCCACUGCAGUCUGGGGCUUCUGUGACAGAACAUUUUAGUGUGUGUCUGUAUAUAUAGCCUGGAGACUGCCCUGACGGCCUGGCUACCUCUGCCCACAGGCCUCCACAGCUGGGGCCGCCUGAGUCCUACCUGUGGGCUUGGGGGCAGAUGUCCGUUCCUCCGGGGACAGAAGGAAAACCCAGGGACACCUUGCACUGGGUCCUGCCCUGUCCCCUGGUACUGGCAACCUGCCAUGUUAACUGUCAAGACCCUAGUUCUUCUAUGACCAGGCCCAUCAGGUUCUGGAUCUCUGCCCAUUGCCCAGACCAGCGGCUAACUCCUCCAGGUGGCCGGCAUCCCCAUGUUCUGUUGGCCGCAGCUUGCCUAUGGUAUGGCCGGGCCAUCUGUGAUUUGCUGGCAGAAUCCCUUGACACUAUCCCCUCGCAGCUCAGCUUGCACCUUCCCCUCUACCUCUGCAGUCCUAUUCUGCCCAUCUUGGGGGUAAUGACUGGUUUCCAGGCCCAGCUGCUCCUGAUCUGGUGCUUUUGUCCCUAGAGAGCAGAGCACAAGAAGAUGGGUACUUUCUUUUCCCUUCCAUGUUCUUGGUGUUGGCCAGGUUUAAUCUCUACACAGUGCCAAGGCUUCACAUGUUCUCAUUAUUCACUGCCCUCUGAUUCUAUUAGCUCUGUCUGUUUUCAUAUGUGGCUCACUUCCCCGUCUCCACGGGAGAAGAGAUUAUGCAGGAUAGCAUCUAGGACAGUGGCCUACAUCCCAGGGGUUUUGGAGCUGCAUAUCUGCUUUGGAAUCCUGUUUCUGCCACUUAUUAGAUGUGUGAUUUUAGGUUAACUUACUUAACUUCUCUGUGUCUUCUCACCUGUAAAAUGGAAAUAAUUCAAGGACCAACUUCACAGAGCUGUGAUAAGGAUGAGAUGAGUUUGCUAAAAUCCCUCCAAUUCUCCAUUGCAGACUGCUUCUCCCUCCUAACUCUCUCCAUACCAAGAACUUUCCAGAUCAGAAGGAGGACUUUGCAUUUAGAAAUCUCAAUGGAAGUGGACAGAUUGCAGCCCCCAGCUGUAAACCAGAGGGCUACGUAGCCCUGCCGCUUGUCCUUGGCAUCCUCCUGCAUCCUCUGGGAGGAAUACACAUCCCAUCUCAAUGGCUUUGGUCUUGGCCAUGUGAAAAGCUUUGGCCAAGGAAAUAGGAAGAUGAGGGUGAGGACUUCUAGGCCCUAAGGGCUAAGUCCAGCCAACAGAUGGAAGGAUCUUGCAUCUCCUUCUGAUGUCCACUGGACUCUUGACAUGGGACACUGGCCUGGCAGAACCCAGCAAAUCAUUGUCAGCUCACUGCUUUACAAGAACAGUAUCACUUAUUUGUCCAUCGUAUAACUGGCGGUGUGUCUUCCAGACAGCUCUUUAUGGAACCAACAGAGGAAAAAAAAGAUUAGGACCUCAAUAUCCAAAAGGUUAGUGAAUUUCUCCUUCUCCUUGGAAACAUUCCUCUUGGAAGAUUAUCUGGAAUGAUUUUCAUCCUUGACCUGGCUCACAUCCUAUUGUUGCAUCUCUAUGCUUCUCAACUCAGCUUGAGAGAUAGAAAUUAAUUUUACUAUUAGCACAAGAACAGUAUGAUUUGGAAGGGAAAUUUGUUGCUUUGUCAUUCUGUCAGUUGUCACAGGCCCAAAUGAAAAUAGCUUGGGAUGUUUUUCAUGAGUGUGCCUAUCCAGAGGGGCUGAUCUACACCUGAAUUUCUGGAAUACAUUCCUCCAAAUGUCCUUGAUUGGCAAAAGACCCCAUUAUAAUCCCAGCCUUCUAUUUACAGCUCUGGGUGUGUGCCUAGCAAGCAGAGUGCCAAGUGGGCCCACUGGGAAAGAUUUCAUUCUCUUAAGGGCUGUUAAUUAUUGGAAUAUGUGGUUGAGAGAGAUAAUACUUUUUCCAUCCUGGGUAAUUAAAAAAUUAGUAAUAAUGGUAACCGGUGUUUUAAUAGGGUUUUCAAAUUUCAGAGUUUAUUUUCAUAUAAAGUAUUUUAUUCUUUUAUUCUCUUCUCAACCCUGUGAGAUUCAGGAUGGUAACAUUAAGUUGGCAAACAACUCUGGCUGCUUGAUGGGACUGACGUCUUGCCUUCUGAAUGUGAACUAGUAAAAUCUUUCUGGUAAUAUAUAUUAAAAGCAUUUAAUUUGAACUCAAGGACAGAUGGGUAACAAAGCCAACUAAGUGUAUCCACACUUUGGAUACACUUUACAUCAGAAAAUACACUUCUGGAAAUUUAUUCCAAAUGAACAGAGAUAUGCAAAAACAAAAGAACACCCCCCCAGUGAUACUGAUAAAAAGAAAAUAUUGGAAAAAAAUCUAAAUAUUAAAUCACAAAGGAUUAUUUUUAACUAGAUUAUGGUAUAGGCAUACAAUGAAACAUUACUUAAUCUUUAAAAUACUUCAAUAAAUGUUCAAUGAUAUGGAAACAUGUGAAAAAGGGAAAGAAAACUGGGUACAGAAAGAUGUAUUUGACCUUAAUUCUAAUAAAUAUAUCUCUACAUGUGCACAUUAGAGAGACUGGAAAUACAUAUACACCAAUAUAUUAGCAGUGGUUAUCUCUGGGAGGAUGAUUGUAAAAUAAAAGUUAUUGCUUUUGUAAUAAAAUAAAAUACCCUAAAAUGCCUAAGUACAAUAAAAAGUUAUUACUUUCAUAAUUGAGGAAGGAAAAAAAAGUCUUAUAUUCCUUUUAACUGCACAAAAACAGUCUCCUAAUGAAAACCUGCCAUUUCAUGGUGUAAAUACUUGAAGGUCCCCAGUGGGGUAGAAUACAAAGAUUGCUUAUUUGUGUUAUGGCAAACAUUGAAUUUCAGCAGCUGCUGACAGCCAACUUCCCUGUGUUAACUGGUGUGUGUGGCUAAGCAUGCACCCUACCUCUCAGGCAAUAAAGAAUGAUUUCAACAGUUCUUGAUGUCCCACAGCCUGCUCACUUGUUUCUGAGAAUUCCCUCUACUUCUCCGAAUUCCGCUAUUGUAUCCAUUUUAGGGUUAUUUAAAAUGCCCAGGGGCAUUUUUUGCCAUUAAGUUCUGACAAGUGGGUGAAAGGCAAUUUCACGGAAAAACUCCUUUUACAGAGCCUCAGAGCUGGGCAGGGUCAUCUUAUUCAAGAGGAACUGAAAAAGUUCAAGGUUUUCUUUAAGCAGCUGGGCACGUGUCUUACCCUGGCCCCUCAGCUUCUGUCCAUCUUUGCUUUGCAGAGCAGGGGGGUCUGGAAGUUCCAUGGGUGGUAAACAGGGGAAAAGGGUGGAGAAAGCAGGAGGGCCUGGGAGUCCCAAGGGUGGUGGGCAAGACAGGCAGCCAGUGGACUGGAGGGCUGAAGCCUACCUCCUAGCUUAGGGCCCAGAAGUCUGGGUGUAUCUGCCGCAACCUGAAACCACCACAAGUCCCAAGGUCCUCCUCUCCACCCUCACUUCCCUCCAUCUUGUGCCAGUACUUCCUGUCUCUACCUGAUUUAAUCACACUUUCUCACUCAUGUACAAUAUGUUCUUUUAAACUUGCUCCUUAAUUCAAAAAAUCUGGGUUACUUAUGCAGCAAGAUAAUUACUUGUCUCUCUUGCUGGUUUGUAAUCACUCUUUUUUCUUUCUUCUCUACUCAACUUCCCUCAGAAGCCCUCUCUUAUCAGAAAAGCAAUCAAAGGCAUAAAUGGCCAGGGUCCUUAGGUUGGGCCUGGGAGUAGAGCUGUAAAUGUUUCCAGUGCACACUCAUUGAAUGAGAACAGGGAGGAGAAAGGGAAACCAAGAUUCAGCUCCUUCUGAUGCAUUUUCAGCAAAAGUCAGAGCCAACCUGACUAGUUUAGUGGCUAGAACACACAUCCAUCCAUUCAUCCAUCUAUGAUUACAUCUUUUAACAAAUGUCACUGAACAUCUAAGAUGCACCAGGAAUGGGUAGAGCCUUGAGAAUACAGCAUUGUGCUAAAACAACUUGGUUUUAAUAUUUACAGCCUGUUGGAGAAGAGAGACACUAGUAAAACUGUGACAUGUGAGUGACAAAAGUAUUAAGAAGGACUUUGCAGUUGCUAUGAGUGCCAAUAGGGGGCAGAUUUGACCAGGUCAAGGGGUGGUGGGCUUCCCUGGGGAGGCUGCCUCCAGCGUGAGGAGUAGAAAGCCCCUCUCCAUUCCUAGUCACAGCCUUGUGUGUAAUGGGGUAUGGCUCACACUGCUGGCUGCAUUUCCUUUUUUACUGUUACAGAGCUCAGUUUUACCAGCUAUCAGCUGCCCAGUCCCAGGAACUGAGGAAGUGCAGUCUCAAGUAUUCGCGGUAACUUCAUUUCCCACUUGACUGUGAUUGGUCCCAUUCAGUUUUGGUUGCUGAGACAUAGCAGAAGUCAUUUGGGGUCUGCUGGGAAAGACUGUCCUCCCCGAUGAAAAGACAGGGGGGAGGAGGAGCCUCCCUCAAAUGGAAAGAGUGAUGUGAGCUGCUAAAUCAAACCUGGAACUGGUUUUCUUGGGACUUCUUUGGAGACUGUUACCCAGGCACUGUUUCAUCUGCUUUUAGCAGGGCAUCUAGCCUGGGGGUGGAUUUCACUGAAGUUCGUCAUGGACAGUUGAGUGGUCUAAUUGAUGAUUUGGGUAUGUUUUCAACUCCAGUGGCCUAGAGGUAGAGAUAGGUGGAGAAAGAGAUAGAUGUAGAGAUACACUGACAGAAGUAUCUGGAUGUUGCUGUAAGGGAAAGGAACAAAGUGGUAUAUUGCUAUGGGGUAUGGCUUUUCUGGGCACAUUUAAGCAAUCAUUUGUGUCAUUGUCCUUCCUGUUGCUCUUAUGCUUGACAAUCCCUUUGAUGUGCUCUUUCCAGUCCUUUGGACAAUGGCUGAUUUAGUACUAAUGCUCAAUUUCAAAGACAUGAAGGCCCGAUAGCUGGUCUGCCUGUCUGCGUGUUUAUGUGCAUGUUAUGUCAAAGGAAAAUAUGGAAUCAGAUCUGCUAUUAGCCAGGGAGGAAAAUAGCUCCCAUAUAGCUCCCAAAUCUCUUUCCAAUUUGAGACUAAGUCAUAAAUAUUGAAAGCCCUAUAAAUGGACUAAUCUGAUCUAGUUUUCUGGUCCUUUUCUAGCAACCAAAGCCACUGGCAUGUUCAUCACUGCAUGGAAUCUUCCACUGAAGAUUCAAAAUUUUGGGAAACAGGAAAGCAGAAUCUUCCUGUGUCUUAUGCACAGAAAACCAGAUUUAGCAGGUCUGGUGCACAGGUUGCCAUGAGUGCUAUUUCCUUGAAAGCAACAGUUGUCCAGGAGGGGUCUUCUGGGAAUAGUCACAUCAGUGUCCUCAUGAGAGCCACAGGUCCACUUUGCCUUCGCUCGGCAGUUUGCAUGGAUCAUGUGGUAGUGAAGAGUCCAUGAGACUGUCAGGGGCUCGGUCACUGGAUGUGAUGUGGGGUGGCAGUGUGGUCUGAGGGGAGGCCACACCCUUUGGGACUGACACAGAGAGGGAUCUGGACAGGUACAAAAUAACCUGAUCACCUGAGGGAGGUGAUCUGAGCUGCAGUUGGAGCGGGAGGGUGGUUUCUAGAGCUGGUUCUGCCAUUACCAGUCAGACUGACUUUGGCAUAUCUCUUCCUCUUUUUGAGAACAAAUUUCUUCUAAUACAAAGCCUUGAUGGGUCACAUCUGCCCUGCUUUCCUCAGCCACGUACUGUGAAAAUGGUCCAUGUGACUGCAAGUAGGAAUUGCAGUUAUCAGUAGGGGAUGACAGUCACUCCUUGGAUGCCUCAUGUCCCUCAGACUCUCCGAGUGGAGGUCUAAUUCCAGAUGGAGAAGGCGAUCGGUUUCCCCUGAAUGUCUUUUGCUUUGGGAACUCCGAGCUCUAAGUGGACUCUCAGGUGCUGAUGGGCUGUCCUACACUGCCAGGUGGUGAUUUCCCUUUGGCUGGGGGCCAGUGACUCUGGUAUGUGAGGGCCACUCUGAGCACCACUCAGCUCAGGAUUUGGGGUAGGGUGCCUUGCUUCACAAGGAGCCCACAGAACCUGGGGGCCAUGCAGUGGAGGAAAUGGAGCCCCAAGCCAUCCCUGGAGCUCCUUUAUUUGUAUUUGUCAUCACACAG